CAAGACCUUGCGCUCUUGGAGCGGCCGAUGUCUGAUUAGCUAGUUGGUGAGGUAAAGGCUUACCAAGGCUUCGAUCAGUAGCUGGUCUGAGAGGACGACCAGCCACACUGGGACUGAGACACGGCCCAGACUCCUACGGGAGGCAGCAGUGGGGAAUUUUGGACAAUGGGGGCAACCCUGAUCCAGCCAUGCCGCGUGAGUGAAGAAGGCCUUCGGGUUGUAAAGCUCUUUCAGCCGGAACGAAAAGGUUACGGUUAAUACCCGUGACUAAUGACGGUACCGGAAGAAGAAGCACCGGCUAACUACGUGCCAGCAGCCGCGGUAAUACGUAGGGUGCGAGCGUUAAUCGGAAUUACUGGGCGUAAAGCGUGCGCAGGCGGUUUUGUAAGUCAGAUGUGAAAUCCCCGGGCUUAACCUGGGAACU
rnacentral:rRNA from 1 species